UACGUAGGGCGCAAGCGUUAUCCGGAAUUAUUGGGCGUAAAGAGCUCGUAGGCGGUUUGUCGCGUCUGCCGUGAAAGUCCGGGGCUCAACUCCGGAUCGGCGGUGGGUACGGGCAGACUAGAGUGAUGUAGGGGAGACUGGAAUUCCUGGUGUAGCGGUGAAAUGCGCAGAUAUCAGGAGGAACACCGAUGGCGAAGGCAGGUCUCUGGGCAGUAACUGACGCUGAGGAGCGAAAGCAUGGGGAGCGAACAGG
rnacentral:rRNA from 1 species